rfam:Trichomonas vaginalis G3, whole genome shotgun sequence.
GUUUCGGUGGUGCAGUCGGAUAGCACAUAUGUCUUAUAAGCAGACGGUCGCAGGUUCAAAUCCUGCCCGAAACA